CCUACGGGGGGCUGCAGUAGGGAAUAUUGCACAAUGGAGGAAACUCUGAUGCAGCGACGCCGCGUGAGUGAUGAAGGACUUCGGUUCGUAAAGCUCUGUUGCAAGGGAAUAAAAAAAUGAAUGUACCUUGUGAGGAAGGGUCGGCUAACUUCGUGCCAGCAGCCGCGGUAAGACGAGGGACCCUAGCGUUGUUCGGAAUCAUUGGGCGUAAAGCGGGUGUAGGUGGCUUUGUAAGUCAGGUGUGAAAUCCCUGGGCUCAACCCAGGACGUGCAUU
rnacentral:rRNA from 1 species